AGCCCCGUACACAAAAGCGCACGUGCUGUGAGCUCAAUGAGUAGGGCGGGACACGUGGUAUCCUGUCUGAAUAUGGGGGGACCAUCCUCCAAGGCUAAAUACUCCUGACUGACCGAUAGUGAACCAGUACCGUGAGGGAAAGGCGAAAAGAACCCCGGCGAGGGGAGUGAAACAGAACCUGAAACCGUGUACGUACAAGCAGUGGGAGCCCCACCACUAAGCCAGUGGUGAACUCCACAUACGCAUCCUUUGCUGAGGAUACGGUUAACGGAGCGAAAGCGACGUUCAACCGCAAAAGAAGCAGAGGGGGCUUAGUGGUGGGGUGACUGCGUACCUUUUGUAUAAUGGGUCAGCGACUUAUAUUCUGUAGCAAGGUUAACCGCAUAGGGGAGCCGGAGGGAAACCGAGUCUUAAUUGGGCGUUAAGUUGCAGGGUAUAGACCCGAAACCCGGUGAUCUAGCCAUGGGCAGGUUGAAGGUUGGGUAACACUAACUGGAGGACCGAACCGACUAAUGUUGAAAAAUUAGCGGAUGACCUGUGGCUGGGGGUGAAAGGCCAAUCAAACCGGGAGAUAGCUGGUUCUCCCCGAAAGCUAUUUAGGUAGCGCCUCGUGAAUUCAUCUCCGGGGGUAGAGCACUGUUUCGGCCAGGGGGCCAUCCCGGCUUACCAAUCCGAUGCAAACUGCGAAUACCGGAGAAUGUUAUCACGGGAGACACACGGCGGGUGCUAACGUCCGUCGUGAAGAGGGAAACAACCCAGACCGCCAGCUAAGGUCCCAAAGUCAUGGUUAAGUGGGAAACGAUGUGGGAAGGCCCAGACAGCCAGGAUGUUGGCUUAGAAGCAGCCAUCAUUUAAAGAAAGCGUAAUAGCUCACUGGUCGAGUCGGCCUGCGCGGAAGAUGUAACGGGGCUAAACCAUGCACCGAAGCUGCGGCAGCGACACUGAUGUGUUGUUGGGUAGGGGAGCGUUCUGUAAGCCGUUGAAGGUGUGUCGUGAGGCAUGCUGGAGGUAUCAGAAGUGCGAAUGCUGACAUAAGUAACGAUAAAGCGGGUGAAAAGCCCGCUCGCCGGAAGACCAAGGGUUCCUGUCCAACGUUAAUCGGGGCAGGGUGAGUCGACCCCUAAGGCGAGGCCGAAAGGCGUAGUCGAUGGGAAACGGGUUAAUAUUCCCGUACUUGGUGUUACUGCGAAGGGGGGACGGAGAAGGCUAUGUUGGCCGGGCGACGGUUGUCCCGGUUUAAGCGUGUAGGUGUGUGUUCCAGGUAAAUCCGGUUCACUUUAACACUGAGGCGUGAUGACGAGGCACUACGGUGCUGAAGCAACAAAUGCCCUGCUUCCAGGAAAAGCCUCUAAGCCUCAGGUAACAUCAAAUCGUACCCCAAACCGACACAGGUGGUCAGGUAGAGAAUACCAAGGCGCUUGAGAGAACUCGGGUGAAGGAACUAGGCAAAAUGGUGCCGUAACUUCGGGAGAAGGCACGCUGACACGUAGGUGAAGUGGUUUACCCAUGGAGCUGAAGUCAGUCGAAGAUACCAGCUGGCUGCAACUGUUUAUUAAAAACACAGCACUGUGCAAACACGAAAGUGGACGUAUACGGUGUGACGCCUGCCCGGUGCCGGAAGGUUAAUUGAUGGGGUCAGCGCAAGCGAAGCUCCUGAUCGAAGCCCCGGUAAACGGCGGCCGUAACUAUAACGGUCCUAAGGUAGCGAAAUUCCUUGUCGGGUAAGUUCCGACCUGCACGAAUGGCGUAAUGAUGGCCAGGCUGUCUCCACCCGGGACUCAGUGAAAUUGAACUCGCUGUGAAGAUGCAGUGUACCCGCGGCAAGACGGAAAGACCCCGUGAACCUUUACUAUAGCUUGACACUGAACACUGGUCCUUGAUGUGCAGGAUAGGUGGGAGGCUUUGAAGUGUG
rnacentral:rRNA from 1 species